rnacentral:misc_RNA from 1 species
AACGCAUAUUGCGCCCGCGGCCUCGGCCAAGGGCAUGCCUGCCUGAGCGUCAUUAUAACACCUCACAACCCUUCUAGGGGAGUGGAUCUGGCCGUCCGGACUCUCGAGCCUGGUCGGCUGAAAGGCAGAUGCAAAGCCAGCAGCCCAUUCAACGGCAAGGCGUGGUAGACCGCAUCGCGGGCGAUCGUCGUGCCGGGGCUGCCUUUUGGCUUUCGCAUUAGCAGGAACCGCCGCUCUCGACGGACUUCGGUCCGAAAGGAGCCGGCCUUGACCCAUUGACCUCAGAUCAGACAAGAUUACCCGCCGAAUUUAA